UACAGAGGGUGCAAGCGUUGUUCGGAUUUACUGGGCGUAAAGGGCGCGUAGGCGGUCAGCACAAGUCAGUUGUGAAAUCUCCGGGCUUAACUCGGAAAGGUCAACUGAUACUGUGCGACUAGAGUGCGGAAGGGGCAACUGGAAUUCUCGGUGUAGCGGUGAAAUGCGUAGAUAUCGAGAGGAACACCUGCGGCGAAGGCGGGUUGCUGGGCUGACACUGACGCUGAUGUGCGAAAGCUAGGGGAGCGAACGGG
rnacentral:rRNA from 1 species